AACGUAGGGCGCGAGCGUUGGUCCGGAUUUAUUGGGCGUAAAGAGCUCGUAGGCGGUCUGUUGCGUCCGCUGUGAAAACUCGGGGCUUAACCCCCGAGCCGCAGUGGAUACGGGCAGACUAGAGGUAGGUAGGGGAGAAUGGAAUUCCCGGUGUAGCGGUGAAAUGCGCAGAUAUCGGGAGGAACACCGGUGGCGAAGGCGGUCU
rnacentral:rRNA from 1 species